AUGGCGGGCGGUGCUAGGUGCAGCUCGCUGCUGCGCGGGUUCCUGUCGCUCUUCUUUGUCAUGUUCCUCCACGUUGGCCACGCCGGCUGCUGCUUCUCGCCGGGCUCUGCGUCGCAGCAGCACGAGGAGGACGACGCUGGCGCUGCCGGCAUCAGCAGCAAGAGGAGGAAGAUAUCGCCGCUCGCCUUCUCCCCGGCUGUGUCGUCCUCUACCGGUGUUGAAGAGAGGGCCGGCGCCAGGCGCAGGGCCAGGCACGUCUCGUCUCUCGCCACCAGCCUCCGCUGCUACAUACACCGCAUCUUCUCCUCCGGUGGACCCAAGAAUGCUGUUCCCGCCGGAGAGGAGGAGGAGACUGUCACGACCACCGUGUCGUCGCCGCUUGCCCAGUCCGUGACGCAGCGUCAGGCGUCCGUGGUGCUGUCCACGCCGUCCUCGCCGUGCGCGUCGCCGUUCCUGUCCCCGAUGUCUCCGCAGUCGCUCAGCGUCACCCCCCUCGUGCCGUGCUCGCCGCUGGCGACCAGGCAGCUGUCCAGGUCGUUCGCCGCCCGCGGGGACCUGUACCCUUGCAAGGUGUGCGGCGAGGUGCUGAGCAAGCCGCAGCAGCUGGAGCUCCACCAGGCGAUGAAGCACUCCCUGUCGGAGCUCACCCACCUCGACUCCAGCAUGAACAUCAUCCGCAUGAUCUUCCUCGCCGGGUGGGGGCUGCCCGCAGCAGGCACCGGCGAUCCUCCGGCCGUCAGGCGCAUCCUCAGGAUCCACCACAACCCGCGGGCGCUCUCCCGCUUCGAGGAGUACCGGGACCUCGUCCGCGCCCGCGCCGCCCGCCGCUGUGCGGGCGCCAGCGGCGCGGUGGUGGAGGAGCGGUGCAUCGCGGACGGCAACGAGCGGCUGCGGUUCCACUGCGCCACCAUGCUCUGCUCCCUGGGCGCCGGCGUGUGCGGGAGCCCCUACUGCUGCACCUGCACCAUCCUCCGGCACGGGUUCGCCGGGAAGCAGGCGGACGUGGACGGCAUCGCCACCUACUCCUCCGGGUGGGCCGCGCACGCGUCGCUGCCCGACGAGGUGGAGCGCGAGUUCGCGUUCCUGCAGGUGCGCCGCGCCAUGCUGGUGUGCCGCGUCGUGGCGGGGCGCGUCGUUCGCGGCGGCGACGGAGACGGGGACGGCGACAAGGUGGGCUACGACUCCAUGGUGCCCGUGCCGCCGGGCGGCGGCGGACGAGGGGGGGAGGACGACGGCGAGCUGCUGGUGUUCAACCCCCGGGCCGUGCUCCCGUGCUUCGUCAUCAUGUACGGCAGCUAG
rnacentral:rRNA from 1 species